UCAAAGGUGUACGCACGCCAUUUUGCUUGAACUUUCAGUAUUCACAAAAUGAAAGUUCUGCGAAGAGGGACACAGUCACGAGGUUUAGGAUUGGUCUGACUUGGACGACGACGACUACUUGGGACCGAGUCUUAUAUAUGCCAUAGCUUGGAGCUUCAUCUACAAACACACGCAAGCACUGGCCUCGUAGAUUUUGCAGAUCAUCAGAGACUGAAGACUAAACACAACACUUAUUGGCCUCAACUUUAUUUGAUUCAUCCUUCAGAUUCCGAAUCCUUGCAAUGGUGCUUGAUGCUGAUGGAGUUGGGUGUUCUUCAAGCUCUUGUGGAUCAACUAAGAGACAGAAGUAUGAUGCAUUCUUGACUAAGAAGCAUCGAUACGGGUACAAGUAUUAGGCACGAUACAAUACGAUACGUGGGCAUAGUAAUUUUUCAAAAUUUUAGGAUACGAGUACGGCUAUAUAAAUAAUUAAAUAUUAAAUAUUUGGAUGUCUAAAAAUACAAUUUCAAGAUGUCUAAUACCAUCACAAAAUAUAACACAAUAAGUAGUUAAGCACUUAAAUACUACCAAGUGGCAAAAGAUAAUUAUCAAUUUAAAGUAAUUCUAAUCUUCCCCAUAUUCAUUGACACCACCACUUUCUCCUAUAAGUUCUCUCUCCAAAUUAGCUUAUCUAGAGAUAAAAUUGCAACUUCAAGAUUUUUACAAUCAUCUAUUUCCAACAAUCUCCACUAAUAUCCCACAAUCUACUUUCUCCAGUGGAAUACUUUUCACUCUUUCUUAAAAGAAGACAAAGAUUUGAAUGAACAAAAACUAAAUUUUCUGCUCUUUUUGAAAGCAUCUUGUUUCUCUUCAGUGAAUGAACAAAAGAGUAAGUGCUCCAAUUUCUUUCACAACAAGAUGAUGAGCAUGGUUAAUUGAGAAGUUUCAAUGCAGUCUCUUGAAGUUUAGGAGCAUCAGCACCAUGAUUGCUCUACCAAACUUUAGGCUCUAAUGUCCAUCUAUCUUGCAUGGAAUCAACAAAAGAGAACUCAUCUGAAUAUCCAUAAAACUUUAAAAAUUCAUUCAUAACCAAUUUCCUCUCUUCUUCAUCUAGAAACAUCCUUAUAAAGCACUUUUUCCUCUCAGUUGAUAUUUCAACAUCUCUAUGUGAAGAGACUCUAUUUGGUCCACCUUCAAGCCAUUGUGUUGUAUAAUAUCUACAAUAAUAUAAUAACAUCAAUUGGAGUUGUGAUGUAAAAAUGGUAAAGAAAAGAAUUUCAUGAUAAAAAAUAAGAAUAACAACUUCAUAAAAUGAAGAGUACUUAGAAAGUGAUCUUCUUUCAUGCUUAUAUAUUGAUUCCUUGAUUUGCUCUAUCAUUGAAUCCCACAUCUCAUAAAUCAAAUGAAGUGUGGGUCUAUUUGUGCCAACAAAUCUCAACAUAUCAUAAAUUGAUUUAGUAAAAGAGAGAAUAUAAUCAACCUUCUCCUACUAAAGAUCAUUAAAAAUUAUGUCUUUCACAUUAGCAGCCUUUCCAACAUCAUCAUCUCUAUAAGCAUUCCAUUCUUCACUAAUAACCAGUGUAUGAAGAGAAGUUUUGAUAAGUUUGAAUCUCUUCAACAUCACAAUUGUUGAUGCAAAUCUUGUUUCGACUAUUGCAAGAAACUUUAAUGGCAUAAAUUUAUUAAACAUGGCCAAUCUCAUAGAAUGAUUCAUGAUAAAUGUUCAGAUGAAGACUGCAUCAUCUGUCACCUCAAUGAUCCAACGACAUUCUCCAUAAAAAAUUUCAUUUGCCUUUGUAUUUUUUGCUACACAUAUUCUUCAAAGCAAGAUUAAGUGUAUGCACCACACAUGGUGUCCAAAAGAUGUGAGAAUAUUCAUCUUCCACCAUCUUAUCAAUAGAUUUACAAACAGGUGCAUUAUCAGUGAUUACUUGAACAAUUUUAUGAGGCCCCACUUCUUCAACCACUUUCUUUAUCAAGUCAGCCAUGUAAAAUCUAUCUUUAUACUCACUAGUUGCAUCAAUUACCUUCAAAAACAUGGGACUUCCAUCACUUAUAGCCAUGAAAUUAAUUAAUAGCCUUCUUUGUACAUUUAACCAACCAUCUGUAACUAUACUUACCCCCUUAUAAUUCCAAGUCCCUUUGAUUGAUUCAAGUUGCCUUUCAACAUUGGCCCUUUCUUUUUGCAACAAAGUGGAUCUUAGUACAUUAUAACCAGGAGGUUUAAAACUAGGAAUUACAUUAUUGGUAGCAUAUUGAAAUGCACUAAUAAAAUAUGGGUUAGUGCUAAAUUGAAAGACAAGCCAGCCAAAUAAAACAUUCUAGAAAUUUCAAUAGUUAAAUAAUCUCUAGCUCCUUCCUUGUUGGAAAGCUCUUUCUAUUGUAUUUGUUGCCCUCCUUUUUCCCUAAUUGUGUUGACUUUGAAUAGGGGUAGAACCCCUUUGACAUAAAGGGGACAAGCUCUGAGUUGGAGUUGGUAAUGGCACAUGUCUUGGUUUUGUUCUAUUCUCAGCCUCCUCUUGAGCUUUUUACAUUUCACCUAAAAUUAUCAACUUUCGGACAUAUAGUAAUACCCUUUUCAGAGAUCCUCAACAAAUAAAAUUUAAUUCUAGAAUAAGAGCCAUUAUAUUGGUUAUUACAAUAGUUACACUUUCAACUUCUAUUCCCACUUUCCCCUUCAUUUUCUUGAGGAACCAAAGUUACAUAAGCCCAUAAAGGAGUACUCUUUUUCUGUCUUUCAUUAUUACUGAGAAUUCACAUUUCUUGAACUACUAUCAGGUCUAGAAUUAGAAGCCAUUAUAGAUUUAAUUUCUAUUGAAAAAUUGUAAACAAUUUCCUUCAAUUUUAACAUGAAGAGAGCUAAUAAAAAUUUAAAAUAAAUCAAUGUUUGACUCAGCAAAAUAAUCCAUCUAAAUAAAAAAAAUUAAAUCAAUAAUUCAGCAUUAAAUUGGGAAAACUGAUCAGGUAGCUCUGCCUCUCUUGGUUCAGCAAUGAAGCAUUGAGCAAUACAUAUCCAACAGUAAUACCAACCAGGAGAUAGAGAGCAAUAAAUAUCUAGCAUUGAGCAUUAAGGAAUAAAAGAAGUGAAGAGAUAAAGAGCCUCAGGUGGAGCUCAAACGGCAAAGAUGAACUUACCAAGACUGGAGAUUGAAGACUGAAGACUGAAGAGAUAGAGAUGCUAAGGCAGAGUUCAGACGUGAGGCAGCGAGUGAAGUGAAAAGUGAAAACGCGAAUAGGUCGACUAAAGAAGCACUGUUGAAGAAGGACGACGGUCAAUGAGGCACCAAGCGAUAGAGCAGCAAACAUGAGAAAGGGGUCAAGUUUUUGGAGUUGGAAAGGAGCUAUACCAAUUUUCUAGAGUUGGAAACGUGACAAAGAAGCUGGAAAUCUUAGGGCAUCGACUUUCUGGAGUUGGGAUUGAGUAAAAAGAAGUGAAAAAUGUAGAGUUUUGUAUCUGCUCGUGUUCGCACAUCUCAUCUCCCGUUCACCCGUGUCCGUCGGAAACUGGGAAAAAGGAUGCACCGUUUCUACAUCCUAAAAGCGUGUCUGUAUUGGAUACAUAUCCAACACGGACACGCUGGCCAUUUUCACGUAUUGAUGCUUCUGAGGAUUUUGAAUUGUGUUGUGAAAUUAGGCAAAUAACAUUGUCAUGUUUUGUGCUACAUGUUUGUUCUAUAGUUACAUGUUCUCUUGCCCUUAGUGAGAAUUUCUUGUUGCGUAACAUAUGAAUGUGACCCUUCCUAAUGAUGAUAAUUUGUCUUUUUUUUUUCCUUUUAA